rnacentral:rRNA from 1 species
AUUGAACGCUGGCGGCAGGCCUAACACAUGCAAGUCGAACGGCAGCGGGGGAUAGCUUGCUAUCCUGCCGGCGAGUGGCGGACGGGUGAGUAAUGCAUGGGGAGCUGCCCAAUCGAGGGGGAUACCAGCUGGAAACGGCUGCUAAUACCGCAUACGCCCUGAGGGGGAAAGGUGGGGACCUUCGGGCCUACCGCGAUUGGAUGCACCCAUGUGGGAUUAGCUAGUUGGUGAGGUAACGGCUCACCAAGGCGACGAUCUCUAGCUGGUCUGAGAGGAUGACCAGCCACACUGGAACUGAGACACGGUCCAGACUCCUACGGGAGGCAGCAGUGGGGAAUAUUGCACAAUGGGGGAAACCCUGAUGCAGCCAUGCCGCGUGUGUGAAGAAGGCCCUCGGGUUGUAAAGCACUUUCAGUGGGGAGGAAGGGUUGAUGUCUAAUACGCAUCAGCAUUGACGUUACCCACAGAAGAAGCACCGGCUACU